UCGUCGUCCUCCUCCUCCAAGAGAUCUCCUCCCAUCACACAAAUGUUGUGGAGGAUGCAACAGGCACCAAUUACCUUUGGGGCGAACAGUGGCCUGAUCUCCAGGGCCCGCAAGAAAAUUGCACGCCAGCGAGUUUUUAACAUCCCAAAGGCUGGCGGUAUGGGGUCAUGAUUGCAAUAGGAUGCUGCAGGCAUGGGUAUCCACCAUCUCCCAAGAGACAGUAUCCAGCUGGUGGAUACAGAGCCUGCUGGUACAUCGGUGAUCUGCGCAGCACAAGGGCAUCAUGUACAGAGCCUGGAUUGCCAAUAUACACAUCUAUAAAUGUGCCUUUGGCAUCACAGGUGCCCUGCAGAAUGAUGGAAGGUAAGAUCUUUCUAUUUAUGUAGCACUUUUUUUGUGGCUGUGCUGGAGGAACAAUUCUGAUGUGGCACCCGUCCAUGGCACCAGCGACACAGCGGAAUGCCUCAUGGCCAGCAAGGCGAGCAAAGCCAUCCCCCACCUCCUCCAUUUCCUCUGCGUUUGGAAAAUGAAUUAUUUUGUGGAUGAUGGUCAUCA